GCUGAAGAUGGUUGGAUCUAGGACAUUACUCUGAGAAACUCCUGCUGAGACGUCCUGGAGCUGAAAUACCUGACUUCCAACAGCCACGGCCAUCUUCCUAUGUGUGAGGUUUGCUGAGGUGCAUAGGAAAUCACCUGGAAAAAGGACUUCACAGUGAGGUUUAGCUUCUGUAAUACAAUCUACAAUCAAAUCGAUCUGAAUAUCCCCCAAAAAGAUGUAA